rnacentral:lncRNA from 1 species
ACACCCUACAAUAAAACUGUAUUGGAAAUGUGUUGAAUUACAUUAUAAUAACACCCUAUAAUAAAACUGUAUUGGAAAGGGUGUUGAAUAACACCCUAUAAUAAAACUGUAUUGGAAAGGGUGUUGAAUAACACCCUAUAAUAAAACUGUAUUGGAAAUGUGUUGAAUAACACCCUAUAGUAAAACUGUAUUGGAAAGGUGUUGAAUAACACCCUAUAAUAAAACUGUAUUGGAAAGGUGUUGAAUUACACCCUAUAAUAAAACUGUAUUGGAAAGGGUGUUGAAUCACAUUAUAAUAACACCCUAUAAUAAAACUGUAUUGGAAAUGUGUUGAAUAACACCCUAUAAUAACACUGUAUUGGAAAGGUGUUGAAUAACACCCUAUAAUAAAACUGUAUUGGAAAGGUGUUGAAUUACACCCUAUAAUAAAACUGUAUUGGAAAUGUGUUGAAUAACAGCUGAUAAUAAAACUGUAUUGGAAAGGGUGUUGAAUCACAUUAUAAUAACACCCUAUAAUAAAACUGUAUUGGAAAUGUGUUAAAUAACACCCUAUAAUAAAACGGUAUUGGAAAUGUGUUGAAUUACAUUAUAAUAACACCCUAUAAUAAAACUGUAUUGGAAAGGGUGUUGAAUUACAUUAUAAUAACACCCUAUAAUAAAACUGUAUUGGAAAGGGUGUUGAAUAACACCCUAUAAUAAAACUGUAUUGGAAAGGGUGUUGAAUAACACCCUAUAAUAAAACUGUAUUGGAAAUGUCUUUAAU